AUUGAACGCUGGCGGCAGGCCUAACACAUGCAAGUCGAGCGAGCGGCGGACGGGUGAGUAAUGUCUGGGAAACUGCCUGAUGGAGGGGGAUAACUACUGGAAACGGUAGCUAAUACCGCAUACCAUCAGAUGUGCCCAGAUGGGAUUAGCUAGUAGGUGGGGUAACGGCUCACCUAGGCGACGAUCCCUAGCUGUCCUGCAAGGAUGACCAGCCACACUGGAACUGAGAGACGGUCAAGAUUCGUACGGGAGGCAGCAUUGGGGAAUAUGGGACAAUGGGGGCAAGCCUGAUGACGCCAUGCCGCGUGUGGGAAGAAGGCCUGCGGGUUGUAAAGCACUUUCAGCGGGGAGGCGUGACCCGCAGAAGAAGCACCGGCUAACUCCGUGCCAGCAGCCGCGGUAAUAC
rnacentral:rRNA from 1 species